rnacentral:lncRNA from 1 species
GAGAAUGUCAGGUCACUUUUUGGACUUGGCAAACAAAGCUUGCACUGAGUGGUGGUGUGUUUGGCAAUAUUACUGUGUCAAAAAUCACCUUGUCUAAUUUUCUGGAUCUGUAUGUCAAACUUAUUGCCCUUAUUGCAAGCUGAAAAUUAAGGUACUUGCAAGUGUUUAUGCUUUUGUGUGUAACUGUUUGCCUUAUCUAAACUGCUUUUCUUGUUAUCCUAAAGUAUAAUUCUGUUGGUUAUAUCAUGUUAAGUGAAGAGGCUUUCCAUGCACAAAAUGCAUCUAUGUAGCAGUAAAGUCAUAUUUGUACAUUUUCUGUUUCUCUCCUGAUGGCAGUGGUGCCUUUGUCACCUUUUAGAAGGUUGGCAUUUUGUUUUUGUUUUUAAAUACAAGUAACAGCUUGCUUUUGACUUCACAAAAAUCUCCCCGGACGUAGAAGAAAAUGGUGCGUUGUCAUCCUGGCUCAGUUGGAGUAUUUGCAUUUUUAUUUCUGUCAAAAUAAGUAUAGUUGGUGGGGAUGGGCCAGUAAUAAUGUGUGGAGUCUUUAAACCAAGAGUAAUUUUGAAAUUAAAAAUUGAAGAGGUGACCCAUUAGCAAGUGACUG